GUUUGAUCCUGGCUCAGGACAACGCUGGCGGCGUGCUUAACACAUGCAAGUCGAACGGUGACCCAGGGCUUGCCCUGGUGAUCAGUGGCGAACGGGUGAGUAACACGUGGGCAACCUGCCCCUGACUUCGGGAUAACUCCUCGAAAGAGGAGCUAAUACCGGAUACGACCACUUCGGACAUCCGAUGGUGGUGGAAAGUUUUUCGGUCAGGGAUGGGCCCGCGGCCUAUCAGCUAGUUGGUGGGGUAAUGGCCUACCAAGGCGACGACGGGUAGCCGGCCUGAGAGGGCGACCGGCCACACUGGGACUGAGACACGGCCCAGACUCCUACGGGAGGCAGCAGUGGGGAAUAUUGCGCAAUGGGCGAAAGCCUGACGCAGCGACGCCGCGUGAGGGAUGAAGGCCUUCGGGUUGUAAACCUCUUUCAGCAGGGACGAAGCGAAAGUGACGGUACCUGCAGAAGAAGCACCGGCUAACUACGUG
rnacentral:rRNA from 1 species